AUAUGAUCAAAGAUGCUCCUGAUAUGCUGCAUGUCAUAAAAAAUAUCCGGUCAGUAUAUCCCCUGAUUCAGAGCCUUUUCACCCAGUGGUAGGUCUCAGGGAGCUGC